GUCUUAUUGAUAAUAAUUUUAAGUCUAAUCUGCCCAGUGAUUUAUUAAAUGGCUGCAGUAUUUUAACUGUACAAAGGUAGCAUAAUAAUUAGUUUCUUAAUUAGGAACUGGAAUGAAAGAUUGAACGAGACAAUAACUGUCUUAAUAUAAAUUUAAGAAUUUUAUUUUUAAGUUAAAAAGCUUAAAUUUUUUUAAAAGACGAGAAGACCCUAUAGAAUUUUAUAUUAUUUUUAUAUUUAAAUUAUAGUAUAAGAAUUUUAAAUUUUAUUAAGAUUAUUUAGUUGGGGUGAUUGAAAAAUUUAUUUAACUUUUUUUUAUUUUUUACAUUUAUUUAUGUUUUAUUGAUCCAAUAUUUUUGAUUAUAAGAUUAAAUUACCUUAGGGAUAACAGCGUAAUUUUUUUAGAGAGUUCUUAUCGAUAAAAGAGAUUGCGACCUCGAUGUUGGAUUAAAGUUAAUUUUUGAUGUAGAAGUUAAAAUAUUAGGUCUGUUCGACCUUUAAAACUUUACAUGAUCUGAGUUUAAAUCGGCGUGAGCCAGGUUGGAUUCUAUCUUUAAAUAGUUAUUAUAUUUUAGUACGAAAGGACCAAAUAUUAUUUAUAUUAAAUUUAAGAGAAUAUUA
rnacentral:rRNA from 1 species